rnacentral:rRNA from 1 species
GAUGAACGCUAGCUACAGGCUUAACACAUGCAAGUCGAGGGGUAACGAGAGGAAAGCUUGCUUUCCUUGUCGACGACCGGCGCGCGGGUGAGUAACGCGUAUCCAACCUGCCCCCAACUAAGGAAUAACCUUGCGAAAGUAAGACUAAUACCUUAUAAUUUCCUCAGAUGACAUCUGACGAGGAAUAAAGAUUUAUCGGUUGUGGAUGGGGAUGCGUCUGAUUAGCUUGUUGGCGGGGUAACGGCCCACCAAGGCAACGAUCAGUAGGGGUUCUGAGAGGAAGGUCCCCCACAUUGGAACUGAGACACGGUCCAAACUCCUACGGGAGGCAGCAGUGAGGAAUAUUGGUCAAUGGGCGGAAGCCUGAACCAGCCAAGUAGCGUGCAGGAUGACGGCCCUAUGGGUUGUAAACUGCUUUUAUACAGGAAUAAAGUUAGCCACGUGUGGUUAUUUGUAGGUACUGUAUGAAUAAGGACCGGCUAAUUCCGUGCCAGCAGCCGCCGUAA